rnacentral:rRNA from 1 species
GAGUUUGAUCUUAGCUCAGAUUGAACGCUAGCGGGAUGCCUUACACAUGCAAGUCGAACGGCAGCACGGACUUCGGUCUGGUGGCGAGUGGCGAACGGGUGAGUAAUGUAUCGGAACGUGCCUAGUAGCGGGGGGAUAACUACGCGAAAGCGUAGCUAAUACCGCAUACGCCCUACGGGGAAAGCAGGGGAUCGCAAGACCUUGCACUAUUAGAGCGGCCGAUAUCGGAUUAGCUAGUUGGUGGGGUAACGGCUCACCAGGGCGACGAUCCGUAGCUGGUUUGAGAGGACGACCAGCCACACUGGGACUGAGACACGGCCCAGACUCCCACGGGAGGCAGCAGUGGGGAAUUUUGGACAAUGGGGGAAACCCUGAUCCAGCCAUCCCGCGUGUGCGAUGAAGGCCUGGUGU